rnacentral:misc_RNA from 1 species
AUGCACAUGCGCAACUGCCGCUGCCUCUCCACCACCACAGAUAAGGUAGUACACAUGCCCCUGCCUCUCUGCUGGCCAGGAUCAACAACGAACCGUAUCCAACGUCGAUGCUCGUGCGGUCGUCAUGGUCGCGUGCAUCGAAGCCGACGCGCCACACGUGGAUGGCGCUGAUGAUGGAUGAGUGUGCUACCAUGGCACCGCUGGACAUCGCCGUCUUUGUGCAGCGCACCUUCGAAGACAGCUGCCUGGUGCCAGCUAAGGGUUCAGCGGGGCGGACGGCUAGCAUCGCCAACAGUGACACGCAGUCCGCAGUCGUGACGCAUCUGAGCUCCUCGUAUGCCUCUUCUUCGCCGCGGGCGGUGCCUGCACUACUGCCUGGGUUGAUUGCCGGUGCGCCGGCGGCGAAGGCGCGCGCUUGGGCUGCAGUGGCACGCCUCCUGUGUGAGAGCGGCGACUGGGUUCGCGCAGCUGCUGUCGUCGAUGGGCUUCCGUUGUCUGUGCAGCGGACUACCAGACACAAGGCGGUGAGAGAUGAGUGGCCGCUGCCCCCGUACGUGAGAGAGACGUGGGGGCGGGCACCUGAUGCACUGGCGGCAAAUCAAACGACGGCAAAUCAGGCGACGGCAGCGACGCCGCUCUCUUCCACCCCCGCAAAAACCGCUGCAGGACCCGUCCAGAGUUUUGCCUCACAGCCGCGUGAGGCCCUCGCAGCUUGUCGCACCGCCGAACUUGUGCGCGUGGCCUACAGUUUGAGCCGGCCGCGCGCGAUAGACGUCACGUCAACCCUCUUGGCCGAUACGCCGGCGGCAUCCCUGCCAGGGCUCAAGUCGGAGCAGCAGGCGAUUGUUGCGGAGCUGCGCCGUCGUGGUGCCGUGUUGGAAGUGGUGCAGUGCGUUGUCAACUGGCAGCGACGGCACCUCGCACUCGCAGACACGGAGGAGGCGACCACCGCCACGUCGGCCGACACACGUGCGGACACGUUUGACGGGCUGAAGGCUGUGAAGGCGGUGCUCUUCCCCUUCGCGCCCCCCCGCGGCGGCGCACAUCAGCUGAGCGGUGCGGCGCGUGCCGCCGAUUCGGCGUUUGGGUGUCGCUCCGCUGAAAGGAGCGGUCGGCCGCCGCUGUACGCGCUCGCGCAUCUGCAAGUGAUCCGCCAAGUGGCUGCCAGCCACCCCAUCAUACUCGCCCGGUGCCUGCGCGACAGGACCGUCGUGGAUCGACUGCUGUGCCACGCAGGCGAGGGGGUUGUUGCUGAGGUGGCCCUGCUGUUCAUGAGGCACAUCGCAGGCGUAGGCAGCGGCGGAACGGAUCGAGGACCACCGGCGCAGACGCCUCUCGGCGAAGGUGAAGGAGUUGGAGCCGAGUCCGCGAAGGAGUCUGCCGCGUCUACACGUUUGCCAAGGUCACGCACAUCCAACCCCAGUGUCUCUGCCGCUGCCGGCGCCGCAUCGCUGCUCUCGCAGGCUGCGUCGAAGCCCGCGCCAUGCGAAGACGUCGCAGCCGCGGAGACGUGCUGGCGGGCACUGGCGACGCUGCUCUUCCCUCUCCACCCGUACAUCCAUGCCCAAUCCAAGACCGGCAAGGAAAAGCUUCUGUCGGCCUUGUUUGCCGCACUCGACGAGACGAAGCACAUGAUCGCUGCGGACCGCGUGCAUUCCAGACCCACGUCGAGCGCCGCUGGCGGCGUGGUCUCUGUAUCGCUACCGGCACAGGGCAGCACGAGGAUACAUCGCGGCUGCAGGACGCUUGUCGCGCUUUCCGACAAGGCGCGCUAUGCCAUCAAGGCCGCAGUGGAAUCGGUGUGCUCGCCGCUACUGAGCCACGAGCCACAAGUGCGCUUUAUUCGCCUACACAUGUUUGGCCAGCUGGCGAAGGCUCUCGGCGAUCUGGGCGUGCCUGUGCCAAACGCGCUGGCUCAAUGCCUGUUCUUGUGCAUGGCAGACACGGUGACCCCACCAUUAUUUUCGGGCGCUUCGGACACCUCUAGCGAUUCUGUGACCAAGUACCUCUCUUGCGCCCCAUCGGUUCGCUGGCUGCACGCGCUAGCCAUGCUGGAGGCUGCCCAUGAAGCGUCAGCGUACCGCGUCUCCGCGGCUCACGAGCGCGCGAUCCUCAGCGGACUGCAGAGCAUCUCCAUCACGCACACGUGGACCUCUGCCCUGCGCACCGUUACCGCCUUCGAGAUGAGGUACCAGCUAAUGCCUGACGAGCGCACUCUCCCAACGCUCCUCCUCAACCUCAAGCAGCAGUCGUGGCAGGACGCCUUCCGCGUGCUGCGGUACGUUCCUGGUGGUGAGGCUGACCAUGCCUCGCCGUCGGUCUUACGAGACUUGCAGCUGGUCGCACUCAAGCACGCUUCGUGGGUGGUUCCACUGCGCCUCAUGACGCACCUGCAGCACCGCCAGGCGGACGGCUUCAUGAACUACCUCUACUGCUUGUGUGCGGCAGCCCGCAGUGGGAGGACAGAACUGGCUUUGCACUUCUUUCGGUCGCUGAGGCACGGACGGGGCCGGCACUCGGCUUUGCUUUCGCUCUCGCCGUACAAUGAGCUGACGGUGGCCGUCGCGGCGGUGGCGAUGUUGGACUACGGCCAAGCAGAGGCGCUGGUACCCUUCAGCACGCGUGUGGCAGCCAUGCGUGCGGCUGGCGACACAUCAGCUGCAACAGUCGAAGCGGCGGCGGAGUCAGGCGGUCUUCUGCUGACAGUUGAUGGACAACAUAUGACUCAGGCGGCGCACGCGUGUGCGCUACUGGCGUUGCAUCGCCAUCGCGAUUUGGCGUCUUUCCUACAGGAAUGCGCGGCGGCGUCGCUGCCGGCGGUGCUGCGGCGGGUGGUAGUGCUUCACUGCCUUCUGGGACUGGGCCACCUGCACGCGCCUGUGCGCCUCGUCUUCGACAUUAUCGGUUACCAGGGCAGCAUGCUGCCAGUGAAUGGGGUACCACGUUCGCCGGGGGCGGAUCAGAGCUCCGAGAAGGCGUUCCUCACCGCUGUGGUGGCCGAUCAGCAGCGCGACGGCACUUUUGAGACGCGGCAGCGUGGCACGGCAGAGCGUCGCCAGCGCCUGUACAUACCCGUCGCGCACCAGCAACGCCAGAAGAAGGCGCUGGCGACGGCAUGGGGGCUGUUCAUGCGAGACCAGGAGGCCGCUCUGCCGCCGCAUGUCACUCGCCUCGUUGCAGAGUCCAUGGUGGAGGAGGGGGUGGGGGCUGAGUAUCUGACAGCGGCUCUGCUGUAGAAGGGGAGAGUGCUGGGGCCCCGGAGACUCACUGAUGUGCCCGUGUGCGGCGCUCCCGCCAGCGUCCUUUUCGCGCCUUCCUCCUCCAAGCUACAAGGGCCGCCCCACGCGCCUCUUGGAGCAGAUGAUGGGGCGUGUGCGUGUGCGCACCUGGUCACAGGACCAUACAACG